CCUACGGGAGGCAGCAGUGAGGAAUAUUGGUCAAUGGACGAGAGUCUGAACCAGCCAAGUAGCGUGAAGGAUGACUGCCCUAUGGGUUGUAAACCUCUUUUAUAUGGGAAUAAAAUGUUCCACGUGUGGGAUUUUGUAUGUACCAUAUGAAUAAGGAUCGGCUAACUCCGUGCCAGCAGCCGCGGUAAUACGGAGGAUCCGAGCGUUAUCCGGAUUUAUUGGGGUUAAAGGGAGCGUAGGUGGAUUGUUAAGUCAGUUGUGAAAGUUUGCGGCUCAACCGUAAAAUUGCAGUUGAAACUGGCAGUCUUGAGUACAGUAGAGGUGUGCGGAAUUCGUGGUGUAGCGGUGAAAUGCUUAGAUAUCACGAAGAACUCCGAUUGCGAAGGCAGCUCACUGGACUGCAACUGACACUGAGGCUCGAAAGUGUGGGUAUCGAACAGGAUUAGAUACCCCAGUAGUC
rnacentral:rRNA from 1 species